ACCAACAGGGAUUGCCCCAGUAACGGCGAGUGAAGCGGCAACAGCUCAAAUUUGAAAUCUGGCCCUCGCGGUCCGAGUUGUAAUUUGCAGAGGAUGCUUUGGGCGCGGCGCCUUCCGAGUUCCCUGGAACGGGACGCCGGAGAGGGUGAGAGCCCCGUACGGUUGGACGCCUAGCCCUUGUAUAGCUCCUUCGACGAGUCGAGUAGUUUGGGAAUGCUGCUCUAAAUGGGAGGUAAAUUUCUUCUAAAGCUAAAUACCGGCCAGAGACCGAUAGCGCACAAGUAGAGUGAUCGAAAGAUGAAAAGCACUUUGAAAAGAGGGUUAAAUAGCACGUGAAAUUGUUGAAAGGGAAGCGUUUGCGACCAGACCUCUUCCGGGCGGAUCAUCCGGCGUUCUCGCCGGUGCACUCCGCCCCGGAUUAGGCCAGCAUCGGUUCCUCUAGGGGGAUAAAGGCGGGGGGAACGUAGCUCCCUCGGGAGUGUUAUAGCCCCCCGCGCAAUGCCACUCGGGGGACCGAGGACCGCGCUUCGGCAAGGAUGCUGGCGUAAUGGUCGUCAACGACCCGUCUUGAAACACGGACCAAGGAGUCGAACAUUUGUGCGAGUGUUUGGGUGCCAAACCCUCACGCGUAAUGAAAGUGAACGGAGGUGAGAGCCCUCGCGGGUGCAUCAUCGACCGAUCCUGAUGUCUUCGGAUGGAUUUGAGUAAGAGCACAACUGUUCGGACCCGAAAGAUGGUGAACUAUGCGUGGAUAGGGUGAAGCCAGAGGAAACUCUGGUGGAGGCUCGCAGCGGUUCUGACGUGCAAAUCGAUCGUCAAAUCUGCGCAUGGGGGCGAAAGACUUAUCGAACUAUCUWG
rnacentral:rRNA from 1 species